GAUGAACGCUGGCGGCGUGCCUAAUACAUGCAAGUCGAGCGAACAGACGAGGAGCUUGCUCCUUUGACGUUAGCGGCGGACGGGUGAGUAACACGUAGGUAACCUACCUAUAAGACUGGGAUAACUUCGGGAAACCGGAGCUAAUACCGGAUAAUAUUUCGAACCGCAUGGUUCGAUAGUGAAAGAUGGCUUUGCUAUCACUUAUAGAUGGACCUGCGCCGUAUUAGCUAGUUGGUAAGGUAACGGCUUACCAAGGCAACGAUACGUAGCCGACCUGAGAGGGUGAUCGGCCACACUGGAACUGAGACACAGUCCAGACUCCUACGGGAGGCAGCAGUAGGGAAUCUUCCGCAAUGGGCGAAAGCCUGACGGAGCAACGCCGCGUGAGUGAUGAAGGUCUUCGGAUCGUAAAACUCUGUUAUUAGGGAAGAACAAACGUGUAAGUAACUGUGCACGUCUUGACGGUACCUAAUCAGAAAGCCACGGCUAACUACGUG
rnacentral:rRNA from 1 species